AGGAUAAUAGUUAAAAUUAACAUUUAAUUUGCAUUUAAAAUAUAAUUGGAAUUCCAAUUUAUCUUA
rnacentral:tRNA from 1 species